CAUGCAUGUGUCAUUUUAUGAAGGGGUAUAAAUGAAAACUAUUAUCAUGGAACAGGAUUACAUGAAUGAGGACAUGUACAUUCUUUGGAAGCAGUCAGUCAACUUAUUCAAGUUCAUGGUGAUACAGGAAAACUUCAAGGUUCCUGCAGAUGGUGUUUAAAACUAUUGGCCAGUGAACACAAACCCAUUUAAUUAUAUUUUGAAUCUUCACCAGGAGAAAAAAGAUGGCAGUACUUCUAAUGCAAGCAGCUACUAGGGAAGAUUUAAUGAAGGAAGAUGAGGAAGUGGAGAAAACGCUGAAGAACAAGGAGGACAAGGUGAAGAAAGGACAAGGGCACAGUGACUUGCAGUGUGUGUCAUGUAACAUUAUUACAACAUCUAUAUCAUGGGUCCAUAAUUUUGAGUAAGUCAUUCAUCAACCACUUUAUCUGUACUGGAAACCAUUUCUGAGAGGGAUGAAGUGAUGGAAGAUAAUGAGCCAGAGGGUGGAACGGAAGAGAAAGGGAAAGAAAUAAAGAAAAAGGCAGAAUGAAAAAGGACUAGAACUUGCAAUAGAAGAAAGAGUUGAGGAAAUGAAGA